rnacentral:lncRNA from 1 species
AUUGAAGGAUCUGUUAACACUUGAUAUACCCAAUAAAAGCAGUGGUUGUGCCAGUGCUGAUCUGUCUUGAUGUGAAUGUGAACAAUGGGAACCUGAGCUGAGCAGUUAAUGCUAGGGUGACAGAAACUGGACCUCUCCCAAGACAUGUGACAGAGUAAUACAGCAGCCAACUUCUUCGCCAAAUUAAAGUUUUACAAGAUUUAACCUGUCAUCAAGACCUGGGAUUUUGGUGAGCCAGUCUUGGUGCUCUGUGUUCACCUGGUUCAUCUGAGGAGCUGCAUCUACCCUGCCCAUGCCAUAGAUCCUGCCCUGUUUGCUUCUCCUGUUGCUGCUAGUGGACAUGAGAAGGACAGAAUAACGGGCUCCCAGAUUCACAAGCCCCACCAAGAGGAUCACCCCAGGAACGCUUGGAGGCUGAGGAGUUCACUGAGGCUACUGCAUCUUGAGACUCAGGAUGAAGACCCAGCUUGGGGCUGUCAAAGAGGCCUGAAGAGGCAGAACACCCCAGAGGAGCCUGGGGCCACCACCCAGCAUCACUGUGGGAAAACGGCAGCAGGAAAUGUCCUCUCGCCUGCGUGCUCCACCUCGGUCCACGCCUUCCCUCCUUCUGGAAGCCUUGCCUGACCACUGGCCUGCCCCUUCUAUGGGAAUCACUACUGACCUUGCAGCUUAUUAUAGACUUAUAUGUUUUUUGCAUGUCUGACACCCAUGACUCCACCUGGACCUUAUGGCUCCACCCAGAAGCAAUUCAGCCCAACAGGAGGACAGCUUCAACCCAUUACGAUUUCAUCUCUGCCCCAACCACUCAGCAGCAAGCACCUGUUACCUGUCCACCCCCACCCCUUCCCCCAAACUGCCUUUGAAAAAUCCCUAACCUAUGAGCUUUGAAUAAGAUGAGUACGAACUUCAUCGCCCACGUGGCGUGGCCGGCCUCGUGUCUAUUAAAUUCUUUUUCUACUACAA